rnacentral:rRNA from 1 species
CAGUCGCCGCGGUAAUACGGAGGGAGCCAGCGUUGUUCGGAAUUACUGGGCGUAAAGCGCACGUAGGCGGCUUUGUAAGUUAGAGGUGAAAGCCUGGAGCUCAACUCCAGAAUUGCCUUUAAGACUGCAUCGCUUGAAUCCGGGAGAGGUGAGUGGAAUUCCGAGUGUAGAGGUGAAAUUCGUAGAUAUUCGGAAGAACACCAGUGGCGAAGGCGGCUCACUGGUCCAUAACUGACGCUGAGGUGCGAAAGCGUGGGGAGCAAACAGGAUUAGAUACCCCGGUAGUCCCUGUCUCUUAUAC